CAAUAGCGUAUAUUAAAGUUGUUGCGGUUAAAAAGCUCGUAGUUGGAUUUCUGCUGAGAACGACCGGUCCGCCCUUUGGGUGUGUAUCUGGCUCUUUCUUGGCAUCUUCUUGGUGAACGUUGCUGCACUUGACUGUGUGGAGCGCUACCCAGGACUUUUACUUUGAGGAAAUUAGGGUGUUUCAAGCAGGCAUACGCCUUGAAUACAUUAGCAUGGAAUAAUAAGAUAGGACCUCGGUUCUAUUUUGUUGGUUUCUAGAGCUGAGGUAAUGAUUAAUAGGGAUAGUUGGGGGCAUUCGUAUUUAACUGUCAGAGGUGAAAUUCUUGGAUCGAUUGAAGACUAACUACUGCGAAAGCAUUCGCCAAGGAUGUUUNCAUUA
rnacentral:rRNA from 1 species